rnacentral:lncRNA from 1 species
GCCACACUCUUCAGAUAUCUAUUUAAAGUUCAAAGAGACGGUGCGUGACAACAACGAAGAGGUGAGUGUGGCCCUGACCAACCCACCCAGCAACAGGAAGAAUGGCUGAAAAAGGUAAGAUUUAAGGCAUCAGACCCUCUUGGUAAGACAGGCCCAAGCUCCCUGGUUUAUUUUAUGUUCACCAGUAUUUAGUAUUUCUCAGUUAUUCUUAAGAAUGUGGUAUCUCUGCUAAAUGGGCAUUAAUCAUAUAUGUUAGCAUGGCUACGAAAAAAGCCAUUCAAUGUACAAUUUAUGGAUUAUGUCUGUACGUUACAUGUAGUUUCAAAGGAUCAAACAGAAGAGCUUAAUUUGUUCAUGCUUGUUUUGAAAGAGGUGGGAGUCAGUUAUUCUCGAGUGUUAUACAAGAUUCGAGGUGUUGUGGUGUGUUGGACCAGAAUUGAGGACAUUUGAUUCUGUCCUCAAUUCAUGGCUGUCCACGGAUCAGCCAUGUGAGUUUGGGGAAGCUCUGCUAGCUCUCUGGGCCUGUUUUCUGCCUCUAAAGUGAAAAUAAAUAAAAUGGACUUAGUCAUUUCUGAUAUGCUUCAGAUCUGAAUUUCUUAUUUUCUGGUUUUAAAAUGUGUGUUAUAUUUAAGAAAAAUGAUUGACUCUACUAUGACAGAAGGGGCUGAAUAUAUAUUGUAUCCAAGAAAUGCUUUUUUACACUACACUGUUUGCUCUUAAUCUGGACAAUGAUCUCAUGAGAUAGGCAGUAUUGUCUUCAUUUCCAUUUUACAGAUAAGGAAACUGAGGCAUAGCCGAGUAUAGCCACUUGCCUGUGAUCAUAGAAAGUGGUGACAGCAGAUUCUGAAUGCACACAGUCUUGUUUCAGAGCACAGUGCCCUUAAGGAUACUUCCAGGUAUAACCUCUUGGGCAUGCUCAGAUUUGGACAGAGAGAAGCAUUUUGAAAUCACUCUUCAUAUUUAAAAAGAAGUUUUGUGCUUGCUUGUUUGUGCCAUAAUAUAAGUGACCUAUGCAAAGUAUGUUGUGUUCCUAUAUAUUCCUAUUUCAAAACAAUGCUACAGAUUAUGGUAAAACUUAAAAUAUUCAUAUUAAAAGAACACAAAUGCAGGCAUACUCUGAGUGUUGAAAUGCAGUCAACUGUACUGUUUUACAAUCAGUAGAAAAUAAUGAGAUAUAUACUUUUAGGGCUUUAUUAUAUGUAAAUUUUAGAAUCGUACAAAAAUAUGCUUGUAUAAGAUAUUUAUAAAUGCUCAAUUAGAAUAUUCGUAUUAAUUUUUAAGUUCUUUGAAACUGGGAAAAAAGUGAAAUCGCAUAUAUGAACAGUUCAAAAAAAUUACUGCUGUGUACUCCCACUGUAAUGGCACCUUAAUUCAUAAAAAGGCUUUCAUCCAAAUGAGAGUAAAGGGCAUAUCACAAUGUUCGCUUUAUACUUAAAGCAAUACCACAGGCAGGUAAAGAGAAAGGUUUUUCCAUGAGUGGUUAAUGCUUUGUUCAAGGUCAAAGCGAGAUGGAGAAGCAAGGAAAACCCGUUGAAUUUGUGAGAGUUAAAAGACAUGCCAACAUUCCUGGAAAGAUAGAUUUAAACUAUUAAAAUUCACUUUAACUGCACAAAGUUUGCUUUUAUUAGAGGAGCUCCUAAUUUUAGAAGUGUUUCUUUUCCUGAUGAUUUUAAUAGUACUUAAAAAAAAACUUCACAUUUUAAAAUGAUAGAAAUGGUAACAGGCACACAAUUGCUAAGAAUAUGCGUUCUCUUUGUUAGCUGGUGGUACAAGACCUAAUUGUGCUUUUCAGUUAAGAAUAUAUCUGAGUCCUUAAUGUGUGGACAUUAAUUCUAUAUGAUGUCUUUUUGUGCUCUUUUUGAAUCUUUUUGUGUGGUGUGCAUGUACAAUGAAUAUUUAAAAAAUGAUAAUUUUAUAAAUUGCUUUCUUCAGAUUAGAGUUCAAAAUAGACACAGGAGUAAUCAUUGUUCUAAACGUCUUUUAUGUGUGUUGGAUCAGUGUUGGUUGCUCUAUUGAAUAUGUUAAGAAAAUAGAAUCUCUUUUCUCUAGUUGAGAAUGAUUAUAUAAGGUAUAAUGCUUUUCUUUUCCUAUGAUACUUAGGAUUAAAGUCAGCUAUGAAGGCUAACAACAAUUUUCAAUAACUUUCCCUAUAUUAUGAUUAUUUAGUUUAGGAGGAAUUGCCUCAAAAGUCAUUUUCGAUGGUUUCUAUGUAAACAGCUGCUGUGUUCUUGAACAAAUGCAGGGAUGUGUUCUGUGUACCCUAGGCACACACACAGGAAGGUUAGAGUUUGCAAAGCUCUUGCACAUGCACAGUAUCAUUUGAUCCUCUCAACAACUCAGGGAGGUAGAUAUCACAAGUUUCAUUAUCUCUACAAAUAGGGAAGUUCAAGCUCAGAGUUGCCCAAGGUCACAUAACUGUAUAAGGAAAGCCUAUCAUUUGAACACAGGUCUUUCCUUUUAAAUACCCAGCCGAGUCUCAUGUACCCUUUGUAAAACAGAAGAUAAUAAUCAUGUCUGAGAGUGACUGAAGAGUGUAUUUUUUUUUCCUCUUGAUAUUAUCAGAUUCCAUUUAUUCUCUCAAAUAAAUUCUCUAUCUUCAGAAGAUAUGAUGCCAAAAUGACCUACCUACUCUGUUUUCUUUUCUUUAUUUUUAACCAGAAUCUACACUAUCACACCUUCUGGUCCCUAUUCUUCUCUUGAUUGGCUGGAUUGUGGGCUGCAUCAUAAUGGUUUAUGUUGUCUUCUCUUAGAAAGGUAAAGUUUUCAAUAAUUGAAUAUGUUUAUUCAUAAAGACCAUACGUUACUCCAGGAAUAAUCUUUUCUGUUUUACUAAUGGAACAUUUUAUCAUACAGGCAAGAAGACUUCAGAUUGACUUCAUUUAGAAGAAUUAAGAAAAACAUGAACAUGACAGAUUAUUAAACAUUUCUCAUGUAAAUAAACUGCAAUGUUUGACAUCAC